AUGGGGAUUCCAAGGUAUAUAGUAGCUGGCCCAUCGGAAAUGCUUGCCAUCACGGGAAAUGGCAUACCUGAAAUACUUCUGAAGAAGAAGCAUUUUUUAUGGCCCCUCCAAAAAUGCACUACGCUUGACAUUUCCCCGGUGAACUAUUCGUUCCAGGUUCAAGCUAUGAGCGCGGAAAAAACUCCCUUUCUACCUCCCCGCAGUAUUCACAAUUGGGCCAAAAGUGUUGGAGGAGACGAAUUAUGAGAGCUUGAUUAAGUAUGCAAAACUUAUGUCUAAUAGUGACAAGCAAUCAACUCAUAUACAAGAUCUUGUCAAGGGAGUUAUCGAAGGGGAAACUCGUGUACUUGCAGCUUCCAUGACAAUGGAACAGAUUUUUAAGGGAACAAAGGAAUUUAAGCAAGAAGUAUUUGAUAAAGUACAACUUGAGUUGAAUCAAUUUGGGCUUUAUAUCUAUAAUGCUAAUGUUAAGCAACUUGUAGAUGUUCCUGGCCAUGAGUAUUUCUCUUACCUUGGACAAAAGACUCAGAUGGAAGCUGCUAAUCAAGCAAAGAUUGAUGUAGCGGAGGCGAGGAUGAAAGGAGAGAUAGGUGCAAAGCUAAGAGAUGGAGAAACAAAGCAAAAUGCUGCUAAGAUUGAUGCUGAGACAUUUAUUGAAUCAACGAUAAGGCAAGGAGAAGGAAAGAAGGAAGAAGUUAGAGUAAACACUGAAGUUAAAAUAUUUCAGAACCAAAGAGAAGCUGAGGUUGUUGAGGCAACUACUGUGCUGGCAAAGAAGAAAGCAGGGUGGUCUCAGACUGCCAGGCUGGCGGAGGUGGAAGCCGAGAAGGCAGUAGCCAUAAGAGAAGCAGAGCUGCAAAUGGAAGUGGAGAAAAAGAAAGCUUUUGUUGAGACUGCUAAGCUCAAGGCAGAGCUUCUCACGAAGGCUACUGUGGAAUAUGAUAUUAAGGUGCAAGAGGCAAAUUCUGAAUUAUACAAGCGACAGAAAGAAGCAGAAGCUGCACUAUUCGAGAGCCAGAAGAAAGCAGAGGCACAAAGAGCAAAUGCAGAUGCUGAACUCUAUGCUAGGCAGCAGGCUGCAAACAGCGAGCUGUAUGCAAAACAGAAAGAAGCGGAAGGAGUAGCAACGAUUGGGAAAGCACAAGCCAUUUAUAUAGGAUCCAUUCUAAAGGAAUUGAAUCACAAUUACCCUGCUCUCAGAGACUAUUUGAUGAUCAACAACGGUAUCUAUCAGGAAAUUGCAAAUACCAACGCUCAAGCAGUGCAAGGUAUGCAGCCAAAGAUUAGCAUUUGGUCAGGCUCUAAUAGCACUGAAAUCAAUGGUGGCGAAGGUGGGAGCGGAUUGAAGGAUGUUGCUGGUUUGUACCGCAUGUUGCCUCCUCUGCUUGAAACUGUGCACGAACAAACUGGGAUGCAGCCUCCUGCUUGGCUUGCGACAUUGCCUGACCAUAAAUGAAGUGCACAUUAGUUAGUUACUUUAAUAGUUUGCUAUGGAUUAUUAUUUAUGCUUUAAUUUUCUGGUUUUGAAUUAUGAAUUACUACUAUUUUGCAUUGUGCUGGUUGGAUUGAACUUGUUUUUUCAUGUAUUUGGAAAUAAUGUAUACCAAGUUAUGAAUUGGUUAAA